AAAAAAAAAAACACGUUAGCCAAGGAGAUGGAUUUAACAUGGUAAAGAAUGAGAGCUAUAGACCUGUACUCGAAUUGCUUAUUUCUUUAGAAAAACAGGUCAUUAGUGUGGGUGCCUUGGGAGGAAGGAACAUAAAGAUCUCUAUAGAAAGCAGAGAUAGGUGGAUAAGAGACAAAAUUACUGUUUCUGGAUGCUAUUGUUGUCUGACUCCAUUUUCCUAAUAGUAAAGUGGGAUUUCUGUUCCUCUACGAUGAAGGUAAAAUGAAGUAAUAGGAAAAUUCUCUGAUCUAGUUAUGAGAAACACUGUGAGAAAUGUAAGGUAGUGGUAUUAUCUUAAACCAUAGGUUAGUUUUUCCUUGU